AAUUACAAAAUGAUGAAAAUAAAUGUUUUACAGAUACGAAGAAAAGGUCAAACCUUGUACGUAGCACCAAGUGAUCACGAUGCAUCGAAUGAUAAUGAAGGACAUCAUUUUGAUGGAUCUCAAACUUGAAGUCAGUCAACCCAGGAAAAUCCAGUUUCUGAUAUUGUAUUUUUUAUAUGCUUGUUUUAGUAUUUUGCCUUUUGUUAUUAUUAUACACCUAUUUAUUUACGUGUUUUCUUUUUAUCUGUUAAUAUCCUGUAAAUGGAAGUAAAUAUAUUUAUUUUCCAAA